rnacentral:rRNA from 1 species
CCGGCGACCGGCGCACGGGUGAGUAACACGUAUGCAACCUGCCCUCUUCAGGGGGACAACCUUCCGAAAGGGAGGCUAAUCCCGCGUAUANCGUUUCGGGCAUCCGAGAUCGAGGAAAGAUUCAUCGGAAGAGGAUGGGCAUGCGGCGCAUUAGCUAGACGGCGGGGUAACGGCCCACCGUGGCGACGAUGCGUAGGGGUUCUGAGAGGAAGGUCCCCACACUGGUACUGAGACACGGACCAGACUCCUACGGGAGGCAGCAG